rnacentral:tRNA from 1 species
CAUUAGAUGUCUGAAAGCAAGUAUUGGUCUCUUAA